ACUUCAGAGGAGUCCUUGGGACAGAAAGCUCUUUUGAAAUACAGAUGCAUCCUUUGCUUCAGACCUCCGCGCACGGUGUGGUCUACUGUUCACCGCUACCCCUGCUUUUCCCUGUUCCAACGUGACGGUGGACGCGGGAGCUAGCUUCUAACUUUCCUUUCUCAGUUUCUCAGCAACACAAAUGCUUAGAAAACCUCCAACAAGAUUUUAAACUUGCUUUAGGAAAAGGAAAGCUGAAGAUAAAUCGGGAAGCUGGUAGUAUAGAGGACAAAGCACAGGGGUGACAAACGAUGAUAAUGGCAGAAAGCUGGACCAAGGAGACCCACCCGGAAGUGCUCCAAGAAGAGAGACUGUAUGUCGACUGAUGCUGAGAAGGGCUAGAGGACAGAGUUCCCUGGAGUCCCUGACCCUUCCUUUCUUCCGGGAAGCUGUGAAAGGCGGGGAAGAAAGCCACUGAUCACACCAAGGUGCUUUGGAUUCAUUUGUUCCCGGCACUAAGCUGGAGCUCCUGCUGCCUAGAGUUCCCCAACAGCCACCUACCAUCUAGAACUUUCAGCUUGAGGAGCGUGUUUUCUGAGAGCUUCCAACAACCAGUAUGAAAACCGACGCUGGGAACAGUACCUGUCUCAAAGUUGAGACUGUUCUAAAUGACCAGACGCUCUGAUGUCUUCGUCGAUGAUGGUGCAUACAGUUACCGGAGGAAACUGCUCCUGAUCAAGAGAUGAACUUGUCUGGGUUUUUUUCGGUCUCUGGCCAGGGACCAG